UAAUUAAACUGGAAUUACAUGAUGUGACUUGACUCCUGGCUCCGACGCUCUUUUCUCCCACACAAGUUUCGGACCUGAAUCUACUCCCAGUGAAGAGCCAAACCCUCCAGCAUCACAGGACGCACAAAAAUAUGAUUUCGUCAACAUGACAGGCCGAGCGGCGCAACUCGUCCCCGAGUGUCAGACAGUCAGCAGAGCGGGUCACAGGGUCACGAGGCGGCAGAUGACUGGCAGCUCUGUGUUGAAACUCUGAAACUUACUGGAGACGCCAUCUUGACGAAUAAACUACCGACAAUCUGGUCGUGAGCAAAAACCAAACGACUGAUAAACGUCACCAUGUCGAUCGACCAACUGCUGCUUCCUUCUUUCACCCUGAACCAAAGACAGGACUCUGGGUGUGAAGCUUGUGUGUGACCUGACCUGACCUGUAUGACCCUGUGUAACCACAGAUCCUCAGGAUGUGAACAUCGUCGGUGUUUCUCUUCUCAACUGCUUUUUACAAUAAAAUCCUCACGAGACUAAAACCGUCCCGUGAAACAGCUGAAGAGUCAGUUCAGUCUCCUGCUGUGACGCCGCUCAGUGUCUGAAUAAAGCUUCAUUCACAUCA